GCCAGCGUAGCUCAGGGGUAGAGCAGUGUCUUCAUAAGGCAUGGGUCGGGGGUCCGAAUCCCUCCGCUGGCA
rnacentral:tRNA from 4 species